rnacentral:misc_RNA from 1 species
GUUUAUCAGAAAAAGAUUGUGGAUACUAACAUGGAUUAUCCUCCUGUCAAAAAUACUCACCAGAAUAAUAGGUAUUACCUUUUGAAGAAACGGCCACUAUCUCAUGGAAGUUAUGCGGAUCACCAUGCAGCAAAUCCUUCCAUGGGUGCCAAAUUUGGGCGGAGAAUAGUGAAAGCUGUAACAUACAGAGUCAAGUCUAUUCCUUCAGCUAAU